rnacentral:rRNA from 1 species
AGGACGAACGCUGGCGGCGUGCUUAACACAUGCAAGUCGAACGGAAAGGCCCUUCGGGGUACUCGAGUGGCGAACGGGUGAGUAACACGUGGGUGAUCUGCCCUGCACUUUGGGAUAAGCCUGGGAAACUGGGUCUAAUACCGAAUAUGAUCACAUGCCUCAUGGGGUGUGGUGGAAAGCUUUUGCGGUGUGGGAUGGGCCCGCGGCCUAUCAGCUUGUUGGUGGGGUAAUGGCCUACCAAGGCGACGACGGGUAGCCGGCCUGAGAGGGUGUCCGGCCACACUGGGACUGAGAUACGGCCCAGACUCCUACGGGAGCAGCAGUGGGGAAUAUUGCACAAUGGGCGCAAGCCUGAUGCAGCGACGCCGCGUGGGGGAUGACGGCCUUCGGGUUGUAACCCUUUCAGCACAGACGAAGCGCAAGUGACGGUAUGUGCAGAAGAGCACCGGCCAACUACGCGCCAGCAGCCGCGGU